rnacentral:rRNA from 1 species
GACGAACGCUGGCGGCGUGCUUAACACAUGCAAGUCGAACGGAAAGGCCCUGCUUUUGUGGGGUGCUCGAGUGGCGAACGGGUGAGUAACACGUGAGUAACCUGCCCUUGACUUUGGGAUAACUUCAGGAAACUGGGGCUAAUACCGGAUAGGAGCUCCUGCUGCAUGGUGGGGGUUGGAAAGUUUCGGCGGUUGGGGAUGGACUCGCGGCUUAUCAGCUUGUUGGUGGGGUAGUGGCUUACCAAGGCUUUGACGGGUAGCCGGCCUGAGAGGGUGACCGGCCACAUUGGGACUGAGAUACGGCCCAGACUCCUACGGGAGGCAGCAGUGGAGAAUAUUGCACAAUGGGCGGAAGCCGGAUGCAGCAACGCCGCGUGCGGGAUGACGGCCUUCGGGUUGUAAACCGCUUUCGCCUGUGACGAAGCGUGAGUGACGGUAAUGGGUAAAGAAGCACCGGCUAACUACGUG